rnacentral:lncRNA from 1 species
GCCCCUCAGGAUAAUUUGCACCAAGUACUUCAGGUCAGCCUACUUAUGUUGUUUUAAGCACAAUCAUUCUAUUUUAAAUCAGUUGAAAAUAAAUUGAUCUAAAAUGCCUAAUUCAUUUCUUAGUCCUAUAAUUUUGGAUGUAAGGCGGCUUUCUCGAUCUUGGCCUUGAAGUUAGGAUGAUGCGCGACUGGCUUGAAAGGAGUUGGAGUUCUACCAAACAACUCGAAAGUCGGUGAUGUCUCCGUAGUUCUUCUACACAUAUUGUCACUGGUUUCCAUCACUUUUCUUUCCCAUAAAGACACCAAAUUCCAUGGGCGUCAUGAUGAUCACUAGAAAAAUGACUAUGUACAUAUUAAAUCUACAAGCAAUUGAUGCCCUGUUUAAUCACAAAAUCAAGGGUUUCGACUAAUGUUUAUUCAAAGCAUUUAUGUAUCAUUCAAUAUAAGUCAUUGUUUUAAAAUAAAUUUACUGAGCUAGAGACACGAG